rnacentral:misc_RNA from 1 species
CUGUAGGGACUUCGGUCCUUUCAAGAUACCACCCUUGCCUUUUUCUUAGCGUCUCUCUGUUUCCUCGGCAGCUCCGCCUGCCAACGAGGACCCCCCAAAAAACCUUUGUAAUCCCCGUAUAAACUUCUGAAAACACACAAACGUUA